GACGGAGGGUGCAAGCGUUGCUCGGAAUCAUUGGGCGUAAAGGGUGCGUAGGCGGCUUUUUAAGUCUGACGUGAAAGCCCAAGGCUCAGCCUUGGAAGUGCGCCAGAAACUGAAAGGCUAGAGUGCCGGAGGGGAGAGUGGAAUUCCUGGUGUAGCGGUGAAAUGCGUAGAUAUCAGGAGGAACACCGGUGGCGAAGGCGGGUCUCUGGGCCGAUACUGACGCUGAGGAGCGAAAGCGUGGGGAGCGAACAGG
rnacentral:rRNA from 1 species